rnacentral:tRNA from 1 species
CCGACCUUAGCUCAGUUGGUAGAGCGGAGGACUGUAGUGGGAUAUUCUUCACAGCUAAUCCUUAGGUCGCUGGUGCGAAUCCGGCAGGUCGGA